rnacentral:rRNA from 1 species
CCAAUAGCGUAUAUUAAAGUUGUUGCAGUUAAAAAGCUCGUAGUUGAACUUCGGGAUCAAUGGGUCGGUCAUGCCGUCGGUAUGUACUGAUUUUAUUGGUUCUCACCUUCUAAGGAACCGUAAUGUCAUUAAUUUGAUGUUGCGGGGAAUUAGGACUGUUACCUUGAAAAAAUUAGAGUGUUUAAAGCAGGCUAACGCUUGAAUACAUUAGCAUGGAAUAAUGAAAUAGGACAUCAGAUUCUAUUUUGUUGGUUUCUAGGAUCGAUGUAAUGAUUAAUAGGGAUAGUUGGGGGCAUUAGUAUUCAAUUGUCAGAGGUGAAAUUCUUGGAUUUAUUGAAGACUAACUACUGCGAAAGCAUUUGCCAAGGAUGUUUUCAUUAAUCAAGAACGAAAGUUAGGGGAUCGAAGACGAUCAGAUACCGUCGUAGUCUUAACCAUAAACUAUGCCGACUAGGGAUCGGAUGAUGUUAAUUUUUUAAUGACUCAUUCGGCACCUUACG